CAGACGCGGGGCUCCCUGUGGACUGGCGGCCAGACAUGGCGACCAGGCGGUGAAUGACGGCGGUGGGGUCGAGGUCCCACCACCGUGGGCCCCCACCGCGAGGCGCGGGACCGGUCCUUCAACACUCAGGCCGCAUGUGGUGCAAGGGAGCUCACGAAGAGACUGCAGCACGGCGGCGGCGGCAACUCUUACUGUCGAAGCGUGUUGCAAGAUUGUGUUUUCCUUCUUGAAGGUAAACCAGCUGCAUGGUUGUUGAGACAAUAAAAUAGGAGCAGAAGUGAAGUAUAACACUUUCUAAGUGGAAGACUGCAACACUGUUGCUCUCCUCUCCAGCCCUUCUUUCCCCUCCUCUGAGGAGUGCAAUCCCAGGAGCUCACAUCCACGUGGAAGUGGUGUAAGAGUGGACCAAGGUGGAAGGCUGAGCAAAGCCAUGGAAGGACACAGCAAGGAGUGUUGCCUGGAGCCCAGCAGAUUUGUAAUAAUGGCCAGAACUCUAGGAGUUAGCCUAGAGUAAGAGGACCAGUCCCAUCCCAGGGAUGCAGUAUGGAAACAGAGAAGAAAGAUGGCCACGUAUGUCAAAUCGUAAUAGAAGAUGAAGAUGAAACCACACUAAUAAGAGAGAAAGAAAAAGAGAAGAAAGAGAAGAAACAAAGGCCACCAACACCACCUCCAACACCUCCACCAAAGCCACCAAAGCCACCAAAGCCACCAAAGCCACCAAAGCCCCCACCCCCAGUGAAAAAGCCACCCCCUGACAAUCACUUGAAAGCAGUAAAGAUCCAGGCCUGGUGGCGGGGCACCUUGGUGCGUAGGACGCUGCUGCAUGCUGCACUAAGAGCGAGUAUCAUUCAGUACUGGUGGAAGCAGAAGCUGGCAGAGCUGCUGGAGAAGAGACGGCGGGCUGCACUGGAGUAUUAUGCCCGGCAAAACUGGGCAGCAGUCAGACUCCAGUCUUGGGUCCGCAUGUGGCGUAUCCACCUUCGUUACUGCCGUUUGCUUAAUGCUGCCCGCAUCAUCCAGGUCUACUGGCGCUGGCAUAAUUGCCAUACCCGUGGCUUUUUCAGGGGCAGCUAUGAAAUCACAGCAAGCCAGCUCAGACUUGAGCUUGAGAUCUUUCUGGGGUCACAGGUCUGUCGGAUUACAGACUGCAUCCCCUUCCCAAUAAAGAAUUGACCAGGUCGACUCCAACACUGAGUCAUGACAGGCACUCCAACACUCUGUCAGACAAGCUCCACGAGGUCCUUGUCUCGGCAAAGGGUCAAGGUAUAUGGUGGCAGAUGUUGGGCUCCUCACAGGUCAGCUCUGUGGGAGCGGCAGGAGUUGUCUGCAGUCCCAUGUGGAGGAGGAUUUUAGGAGCCAGGUGCUAGAUCAGCAGAGUCUGUGCUUGAUUAGUAAUGUCUGCCAUGGGGAGGUGAGAUGGCAUUGCAGGGCCACCGAGUCAGCCAGCACCAGGGAAACUGCUUUGUAGCGAGGUCUGUGUUUAUGGUGCCCCCCGCCCCUUAUAGCCGCACAGCGUGGAGCCCUGUGCCAUCUGAUGCUCUUAGUCGUUCAGUGGCUUCUCAUUCAAUUUAGAACCAUUCCCAAGCCCUCCCUCCGGGGUCUACAUAAGCCUGCACGGUCUGGCCUUGGCCAUCUCACCCUGUCGCCAGGGUCCCCCCUGGCAGCUCUGCUAAUAUCAAAUAGACCAGCAGCCUCCCAUCGCAGCUCUUUGCCCUUGCUGCCUCCUCUCCUUGGGUUGUCUUCUUGCAAGUAGAGCUCUCGCUCCAUUCAGGUUUGUCUCUGCUCUCUGUUCCUUCCAAGGAGGCCUUCUUUGGUUUGACCACCCAAAUGAGACAGCUUUUCCCGCCGCCCCCUUCUGUGUGCUCUGGCUCCUGGCUCUGCUUUCCAGCUUCAGUCCUCAUCCCCGCAGUGGUUAUCUUACCCCCUUUUCUGUUUUCUGUUCCCCCAGGAGAGGUGAGCUUCAGGAGAGGAGGGACUCUGGGUUCAGUGCUGUGUUCCCAGGACCUAGAACAGCGGGGUCUCGCUCCCUCUCGCCUUCACUCCAGGAUUGAAACCACCACUCUCAAAUGGGACCUGAACCCUCAGUCUUCCAACUGAAGCUGCACAACAUGUCUCAGGAUUUAAUGAAGUUCAAGUUCUUCAUGUCUUAGCACAGAAGGAAUUCGGCGAGAGCCAAAGUGAUAGUCUUCCUGGGCAUUUUCUUGUCUCAUGGCAAUGGCAGAAGAACAAGAGGGCAAACAUAAAUGGGUGAAGCCUUUCAAAGCCAAAGCCAAACUUGUAUGUCCUCAUUCCACCUAUUCUACUGGCCAAAGCAAGUCACACAGCCAAACCCAAAGCAUAGGAAGAUAGAUUUUGUUCCCUUAUGGAAAGAAACUUCAAAGUCCUGUGGCAAAAGUUGUGAAUAUAAGGCUACUAAAGCAAUAUACCACAAGAUCCAAAGAAUAAAACAAGUCAAUACUGAUGUUUGAAGCAAAAUUCAACUCUGCCUUAUUAGCCUAUACUGAAAUGGCACCCGUAAAGUAAAUCAUGCAUGCUGAGCUUCCUUUUGACAUUAUAGUUCUCCUCUUACACAUAAAUAGGCAAUAUUAACAUAAAUUCUUAACAUUUACAUAAAGCUUCUAACGUGAAAGUUUGAGCCAAAAGCAAAAACAAUAAAAGGCUUAAAGAAAUAGAGGCAAUACUGGGAACAGAUGGAAAAAGUUAAAAGAAAAAAACCUAACAACUAUAACUAAUAUUCUAGACUGAUAAGAGAUGAUAAAUAAAUGAAACAAGAAUAGCGUGCCAUUAGAGAAAAGAAUAUUUGGGAGAUGGGAGUAAGAUGGCAGAAUAGAAGGACUGGAGCUCAACUUCUCUCCUAAAAAACAACAAAAUUCACAACUAAAGGC